rnacentral:rRNA from 1 species
CCUCCUUUGUUCCUCCUUUCUUCCUCUUUUUCCCUUUCCUAUAUCCUUAACCAGCCAAGUAGCGUGAAGGAUGACUGCCCUAUGGGUUGUAAACUUCUUUUAUAAAGGAAUAAAAUGAGGCACGUGUGCCUUUUUGCAUGUACUUUAUGAAUAAGGAUCGGCUAACUCCGUGCCAGCAGCGGCGGUAAUACGGAGGAUCCGAGCGUUACCCGGAUUUAUUGGGUUUAAAGGGAGCGUAGAUGGGUUGUUAAGUCAGUUGUGAAAGUUUGCGGCUCAACCGUAAAAUUGCAAUUGAUACUGGCAGUCUUGAGUACAGUUGAGGUAGGCGGAAUUCGUGGUGUAGCGGUGAAAUGCUUAGAUAUCACGAAGAACCCCGAUUGCGAAGGCAGCUUACUAAACUGUGACUGACAUUGAUGCUCGAAAGUGUGGGUAUCAAACAGGAUUAGAUACCCGAGUAGUC